rnacentral:rRNA from 1 species
GGGCCCGCACAAGCGGUGGAGCAUGUGGUUUAAUUCGAAGCAACGCGAAGAACCUUACCAGGUCUUGACAUCCUUUGACCACUCUAGAGAUAGAGCUUCCCCUUCGGGGGCAAAGUGACAGGUGGUGCAUGGUUGUCGUCAGCUCGUGUCGUGAGAUGUUGGGUUAAGUCCCGCAACGAGCGCAACCCUUAUUGUAGUUGCCAUCAUUCAGUUGGCACUCUAGCAAGACUGCCGUAAUAACCGGAGAAGUGGGG